UACAUAGCUCAGUUGGUAGAGCAUGAGACUCUUAAUCUUGGGGUUGUGCAUUCAAGCCCCACAUUGGGCAAAA